CCUACGGGUGGCAGCAGUGGGGAAUAUUGGACAAUGGGCGAAAGCCUGAUCCAGCCAUGCCGCGUGUGUGAAGAAGGCCUUCGGGUUGUAAAGCACUUUCAGUGGGGAAGAAAGCCUUGGGGCUAAUACCCUCGAGGAAGGACAUCACCCACAGAAGAAGCACCGGCUAACUCCGUGCCAGCAGCCGCGGUAAUACGGAGGGUGCGAGCGUUAAUCGGAAUUACUGGGCGUAAAGCGCGCGUAGGCGGUCUGAUAAGCCGGUUGUGAAAGCCCCGGGCUCAACCUGGGAACGGCAUCCGGAACUGUUAGGCUAGAGUGCAGGAGAGGAAGGUAGAAUUCCCGGUGUAGCGGUGAAAUGCGUAGAGAUCGGGAGGAAUACCAGUGGCGAAGGCGGCCUUCUGGACUGACACUGACGCUGAGGUGCGAAAGCGUGGGUAGCAAACAGGAUUAGAUACCCCAGUAGUC
rnacentral:rRNA from 1 species